UUCUUGUCUAAGUAUAAGCAAUUAUACAGCGAAACUGCGAAUGGCUCAUUAUAUAAGUUAUCGUUUAUUUGAUAGUGCCUUACUACUUGGAUAACCGUGGUAAUUCUAGAGCUAAUACAUGCUAAAAAUCCCGACUUCGGAAGGGAUGUAUUUAUUAGAUUAAAAACCAAUGCCCUCUGGGCUCUUUGGUGAUUCAUGAUAACUUCACGAAUCGCACGGCCUUGCGCCGGCGAUGGCUCAUUCAAAUUUCUUCCCUAUCAACUUUCGAUGUUUGGGUAGUGGCCAAACAUGGUUGCAACGGGUAACGGAGGGUUAGGGCUCGACCCCGGAGAAGGAGCCUGAGAAACGGCUACUACAUCCAAGGAAGGCAGCAGGCGCGCAAAUUACCCAAUCCCGAUUCGGGGAGGUAGUGACAAUAAAUACUGAUACAGGGCUCUUUCGGGUCUUGUAAUCGGAAUGAGUACAAUUUAAAUCCCUUAACGAGGAACAAUUGGAGGGCAAGUCUGGUGCCAGCAGCCGCGGUAAUUCCAGCUCCAAUAGCGUAUAUUAAAGUUGUUGUGGUUAAAAAGCUCGUAGUUGAACCUUGGGCCUGGCUGGCCGGUCCGCCUCACCGCGUGUACUGGUCCGGCCGGGUCUUUCCCUCUGUGGAACCCCAUGCCCUUCACUGGGUGUGGCGGGGAAACAGGACUUUUACUUUGAAAAAAUUAGAGUGCUCCAGGCAGGCCUAUGCUCGAAUACAUUAGCAUGGAAUAAUAGAAUAGGACGUGCGGUUCUAUUUUGUUGGUUUCUAGGACCGCCGUAAUGAUUAAUAGGGACAGUCGGGGGCAUCAGUAUUCAAUUGUCAGAGGUGAAAUUCUUGGAUUUAUUGAAGACUAACUACUGCGAAAGCAUUUGUCAAGGAUGUUUUCAUUAAUCAGGAACGAAAGUUAGGGGAUCGAAGACGAUCAGAUACCGUCGUAGUCUUAACCAUAAACUAUGCCGACUAGGGAUCGGACGAUGUUAUUUUUUGACUCGUUCGGCACCUUACGAGAAAUCAAAGUGCUUGGGCUCCAGGGGGAGUAUGGUCGCAAGGCUGAAACUUAAAGAAAUUGACGGAAGGGCACCACCAGGGGUGGAGCCUGCGGCUUAAUUUGACUCAACACGGGGAAACUCACCAGGUCCAGACACAAUGAGGAUUGACAGAUUGAGAGCUCUUUCUUGAUUUUGUGGGUGGUGGUGCAUGGCCGUUCUUAGUUGGUGAAGUGAUUUGUCUGCUUAAUUGCGAUAACGAACGAGACCUUAACCUGCUAAAUAGCCCGUAUUGCUUUGGCAGUACGCUGGCUUCUUAGAGGGACUUCGCUCA
rnacentral:rRNA from 1 species